rnacentral:rRNA from 1 species
AGGAUGAACGCUGGCGGCGUGCCUAACACAUGCAAGUCGAACGUCCUGUCUCGCAAGAGGCAGGGAGUGGCGGACGGGUGAGUACCACGUGGGUCAUCUACCGUGAGGUGAGGAAUACCGGCGAGAAAUCGCCGACAAGACCGCAUAGGCUCGAUGCAAGUCGAGCAAAGCUCUUUCGAGAGAGGGAGCGCCACACGAGGAGCCUGCGCCCGAUUAGCUAGCUGGUGGAGUAACGGUUCACCAGGGCGACGAUCGGUAGCUGGUCUGAGAGGACGAUCAGCCACACUGGGAUUGAGAACGGCCCAGACUCCUACGGGGGGCAGCAGUGAGGAAUUUUCGCAAUGGGGGCAACCCUGAACGAGCAACGCCGCGUGCAGGAAGAGGUUUCGGAUCGUAAACUGCUUUUCUCGGGGAAGAGAAUGGACGGUACCCGAGGAAUCAGCCCGGCUAACUACGCGCCAGCAGCCGCGGU